ensembl:snRNA U6 U6 spliceosomal RNA
GCACUCGCUUUGGUAGCACAUAUACUAACAUUGAAAUGACACGGAAAAAAUUAGCAAGGCCCCAUGGCAAGGAUGACACACAAAUUUGUGAAGUGUUUCAAAUUUAA